UUUCCGUAGGUGAACCUGCGGAAGGAUCAUUCAUAAUAAAGUGUUUUAUGGCACUUUUUAAAAAUCCAUAUCCACCUUGUGUGCAAUGUUAGAUCUCGUCACUCUUGGCGAGAUUUUUAUACAUCAACUCAUUCUUUAACUAAUUUGUCUGAAAAUAUUAUGAAUACUUAAUUCAAAAUACAACUUUCAACAACGGAUCUCUUGGCUCUC
rnacentral:misc_RNA from 1 species